GCAAGUCGAGCGAGACCUUCGGGUCUAGCGGCGGACGGGUGAGUAACGCGUGGGAACGUGCCCUUCACUGCGGAAUAGCCACUGGAAACGGUGAGUAAUACCGCAUACGCCCUUCGGGGGAAAGAUUUAUCGGUGAAGGAUCGGCCCGCGUCUGAUUAGGUAGUUGGUGGGGUAAUGGCCUACCAAGUCUACGAUCUAUAGCUGGUUUUAGAGGAUGAUC
rnacentral:rRNA from 1 species